rnacentral:rRNA from 1 species
CCACGCGAAGGUAGCGUAAUCACUUGUUUUCUAAAUAAAGACUUGUAUGAAUGGCUUCACGAGGACCCUACUGUCUCCUUUGUCCAAUCAGUGAAACUGAUCUCCUCGUGCAGAAGCGAGGAUAAAACCAUAAGACGAGAAGACCCUAUGGAGCUUUAAACUUAUUUCAACUAUUUCAUCUUAUUUCCCUCUAAUUGAAUUAACAUCUAAUUGAAUUUGCUUGAUUAAAGUUUUAGGUUGGGACGACCAUGGAGAAAAAAAUAUCCUCCCUGAUGAUUUUUAACUAAGAGCCUCAACUCUAAGUAAUAAGAUACUUAACUGCUAUUGACCCAUUUUAUGAUCAACGAACCAAGUUACCCUAGGGAUAACAGCGCAAUCCAUUUCAAGAGUCCUUAUCGACAAAUGGGUUU